rnacentral:rRNA from 1 species
UACGUAGGGUGCAAGCGUUAAUCGGAAUACUGGGCGUAAAGCGUGCGCAGGCGGUUAUGUAAGACAGUUGUGAAAUCCCCGGGCUCAACCUGGGAACUGCAUCUGUGACUGCAUAGCUAGAGUACGGUAGAGGGGGAUGGAAUUCCGCGUGUAGCAGUGAAAUGCGUAGAUAUGCGGAGGAACACCGAUGGCGAAGGCAAUCCCCUGGACCUGUACUGACGCUCAUGCACGAAAGCGUGGGGAGCAAACAGG